GCUUAGCCUUAAACCUCAAUAGUUAAAACAUCAAAACUACUCGCCAGAAUACUACAAGCAACAGCUUAAAACUCAAAGGACUUAGCAGUGCUUCACAUCCCUCUAGAGGAGCCUGUUCUAUAAUUGAUAAACCCCAAUUCACCUCACCAUCUCUUGCUCAACCUAUAUAUGGCCAUCCUCAGCAAACCCUAAUAAAGGCCACAAAGUAAGCAUAAAUGCCCCCGCAAAAACGUUAGGUCAAGGUGUAGCUUAUGAGAUGGUAAGAAAUGGGCUACAUUUUCUACCUCAGAAAACCCCAUGAUGACUCUUACGAAACCUAAGAGCUCAAGGAGGAUUUAGCAGUAAAUUAAGAAUAGAGUGCUUAAUUGAAUGAGGCCAUAAAGCAUGC
rnacentral:rRNA from 1 species